rnacentral:misc_RNA from 1 species
CAAAACUAGCUUUGGCUCUCUGCCACUGCCAGUACCCUUGUCUAUGCGUACCGUAUGUCGUUCCCUCGGUGGAGUCUCUCCGCCGCUGGGCUCUUUAUAAACUCCUUAUUGCAGCUAAAGCAGUACACCUGUCUGAUUAUUUAUGGGCUUUGAUAAAAACUAUUUA